GGAGGUUCGACCCGAGCGAAGCGAGAGAACGUUGCGUCAGCAACGGCCCGCAGGGCGAGCCACGCAGUGGCGAGUCAUCCUCUAUCACCGACCA
rnacentral:sRNA from 1 species